rnacentral:rRNA from 1 species
GACGAACGCUGGCGGCGUGCCUAAUACAUGCAAGUCGAGCGCAGGAAGCCGUUCCGAACCCUUCGGGGGGACGACGGUGGAAUGAGCGGCGGACGGGUGAGUAACACGUAAAGAACCUGCCCAUUGGUCUGGGAUAACCACGAGAAAUCGGGGCUAAUACCGGAUGUGUCAUCGGACCGCAUGGUCCGCUGAUGAAAGGCGCUCCGGCGUCGCCCAUGGAUGGCUUUGCGGUGCAUUAGCUAGUUGGUGGGGUAACGGCCCACCAAGGCGAAGAUGCAUAGCCGACCUGAGAGGGUGAGCGGCCACACUGGGGCUGAGACACGGGCCAGACUCCUACGGGAGGCAGCAGGAGGGAAUCUUCCACAAUGGACGAAAGUCUGAUGGAGCAACGCCGCGUGAACGAUGAAGGCUUUCGGGUCGUAAAGUUCUGUUGUAAGGGAAGAACAAGUGCCGCAGGCAAUGGCGGCACCUUGACGGUACCUUGCGAGAAAGCCACGGCUAACUACGUGCCAGCCGCCGCCGUAA